UCCCAGCCUCUAGGUGGGUUCCUGACACAA
rnacentral:piRNA from 1 species